UACGUAGGGGCAAGCGUUGUCCGGAAUUAUUGGGCGUAAAGAGCGCGUAGGCGGUCCGAUAAGUCGACUGUGAAAGUCCAGGGCUCAACCCUGGAAAGCCGGUCGAUACUGUCGGACUAGAGUCCGGAAGAGGCAAGUGGAAUUCCCGGUGUAGCGGUGAAAUGCGCAGAUAUCGGGAGGAACACCAAUGGCGAAGGCAGCUUGCGUGGGACGGUACUGACGCUGAGGCGCGAAAGCGUG
rnacentral:rRNA from 1 species